rnacentral:rRNA from 1 species
AUGUCAGAGUGCACCACAGUCAAGUUCAUGGUGAAGUUUCUUGUUGUGGCAAGUGGUGAUAAUAGUGCAAAGAAUAUUCCAAUGUUCCCUGGACUGGAAAACUUUCCAGGUGAUGUUAUUCACUCCUCAAGCUACAAGUCAGGCAAGAGCUACUCUGGCAAGAAUGUAUUGGUCAUUGGAUCUGGCAACUCCGGGAUGGAAAUUGCUUAUGAACUUGCGACCCAUGGUGCCAACACAUCGAUUGUUAUACGAAGCCCGAUUCAUGUAAUGACAAAGGAAUUAAUUCGUUUGGGGAUGACACUUGCUCACCGUCUUCCAUUGAAUCUAGUGGAUAAACUCCUUGUGAUGGUAGCGUAUUUAAUAUUUGGAGACUUGUCACAACAUGGCAUCACAAGGCCAAAAAUGGGUCCAAUGACCCUCAAAUCAGAAACAGGCCGAUCUGCAGUAAUUGAUGUUGGGACUGUUGGAUUGAUCAAAAAAGGCUUCAUCAAAGUUCAAGGGAGCAUUAGUAAGAUCAAGUGCAACAUAGUUAAAUUUCAAUGCAGUAAAAGAAUGUCAUUUGAUGCAAUUGUGUUUGCAACUGGAUACAAAAGCACGGCAAAUAUGUGGCUCAAGAAUGGUGAGAGCAUGUUAAAUGGCAACGGACUGCCCAUCCAAAAAUAUCCGAAUCAUUGGAAAGGUGAAAAUGGGCUCUACUGUGCUGGGUUGGCGAGGAGAGGAUUAGCUGGUAUUGCAACAGAUGCCAAGAAUAUCGCUAAUGACAUC